rnacentral:misc_RNA from 1 species
AGUUAAAAGUGAUCUUCUACGUGGACAAGUUGUGUUUUUGCUCAGUUUGUGUAUUUCUCAGUGUGUAUAGUUUAAUUAAUUAAAGAAAAAAAUGCCUCGUAAAAUUAGCAGAGAAACUCGUAGAAUUUCCGGUAAACAGUUGUCUCGAAGAAAUAAACGGAAGAACGUUUUUAAUCCGAAAACCGUGGAAUAUGAUGAUAGCAGUUUCAGCGCCUCAGCAAAAAAAUUUAAAGCGCAAGAGGAAAUAUAUGUAACUCGCGAUACGUCAGUUGAAUAUAGAAUUUUAAAUUUUAUAACUGUGUUUACGGCUAUUAGUGAGUAUGUAUUGUGUAAAACUUGCCGUGAGCCAGUAAAAUUUGAAACAGCAUCAGAACGUGGACUUGGUUUUAAAAUUGUUAUCUUAUGUGAUAAAUGUAGUCCUCGUAGUGUAAACUCUUGUAACUUUGUCAAACACUCGUAUGAAAUAAAUCGACGAUUUAUAUUUGUGAUGAGAACCCUUGGGUUAGGUUUGAAAGGUGCUACUCAAUUUUGUGGGCUAAUGGACAUGCCAGCUUUUUUGCUCCAAACUUCAUAUGAUAUGAUCGUUAAAAAUAUCCACGAAUGUGUGUCAGUAGUCACAGAUAAACUUUUAAAAAAAGCUUGUGUUGAGGAAAUGAAUGCCACGUCUGAACAGCAGGGUGAUGAACAUAAGAGUGAUUUAACAGUCUCGGGAGAUGGAACUUGGAAAAAAAGGGGAUUUACUUCUCUAUUUGGAGUUACAUCUCUAAUUGGAUACUACAGUGGAAAAAUAAUUGAUCUUUUAGUUAAAAGCUCUUACUGUAAGCAAUGCGAGCCUUGGAAAUCUCACAAGGAUACUGCUGAAUAUCAGGAAUGGUGGAAAGAGCACAAAGACGUAUGCUCAGCUAACCACGAUGGGUCAUCAGGAAAAAUGGAAGUUGAUGCUGUUAUUACCAUGUUCAAACGUUCAUUGGAAAAGUAUCAAGUUCGUUUUAGAAACUACAUCGGUGAUGGUGACUCUAAAACUUAUUCGGGGAUUUUGAAGGCUGCUCCUUAUGGUGAGACAGAAGUAACGAAGAAAGAAUGUAUUGGGCAUGUUCAAAAAAGAAUGGGCAAACGGCUAAAAGACAUAGUAAAUAAUACAGUAGAAGAAAUGAAAGAUAAGAAUGGAAAAAAAAAAAAAAGUUACUUGGUGGCAAAGGUAAAUUGACUGGGAAACUUAUUGAUAAAUUAACCGUUUACUAUGGUUUAGCGAUUAGGAGACACUGUGAUUCUGUUGACAGUAUGUAUAAAGCCAUUUGGGCAUCUUAUUUUCAUAACUGCUCUACAGAUAAAAACCCUCAGCAUGAUAAUUGUCCUAUAGGAGAAAACUCGUGGUGUUCGUGGCAAAAAGCGCGAGCCUUGGGAACUUUGCCCAGCUAUAAACAUGAUUAUGAGGCCUUACCACCUGAUGUUGCAACAGCUAUUUUUCCAAUUUACGAAGAUCUAAGUAACAAAAAAUUAUUGGAACGAUGCGUUGGUGGUUUUACCCAGAACAAUAAUGAAAGUUAUAAUCAGCUGAUAUGGAAAAUAACUCCAAAAAUUAUUCCAGCUGGCUCUAAAAUUGUGGAAAUAGCUGCAAACAUUGCAGCCGGGGUCUUUAAUGAAGAGGACGCAGAGCGCAUCUCAAUUUCGGACGCAAGAGCGCAAGGGUCGACGCGCGAGGGGAGAAUGGCUCGUAGACAACAACAACUAAACAUUUUGGAUGCAAACGACGAAGUAGAGGGUUCCUCUUAUAGUACUGGAAUAGAUGACACGAUAUAAUUUGGACCAGAGAUAUCUUGUACACCGCCAAGCACUUUUUUUUGGAGGUCUCUCCGCAGAUCAUCUAUAGGAGCUAGGGGAUCCAAUAUUUUUUUAAAUAAACCGCUGAUUGUUAAAGUACAUUAAAUUCUGUUUAAGUACAUUUUUUCAAUUAAUGUAUAAAAUAAAUAGCCUCGUCGGAAAAAAUUCACAAAAAAACGCGUUUUUUCUGCCUCGCAAGUGGAUAUAACCCC